rnacentral:lncRNA from 1 species
CCCAACCCAGGUCUCCGACGACGAAGCGAAUCUCUUCGCUAUGCAGUUAGCCAGCGCCUCCGUUCUACCAAUGGUCCUCAAAUCAGCACUCGAGCUCGACCUUCUCGAAAUCAUUUCCAAAUCUGCCGGCUCUGGAUCUUACCUUUCCCCUACCGAAAUCGCCUCUCACCUACCCACUAAGAACCCAGAAGCUCCCGUCGUUCUAGACCGCAUCUGCCGCCUCUUGGCUUCUUACUCUGUUCUCACUUGCUCCCUCCGCACUUUACCGGACGGCACCGUCGAGCGCCUCUACGGCCCCGCCCCUGUCUGCAAGUUCCUCACCAAGAACGAGGAUGGCGUCUCCAUCGCCGCCCUCGCUCUCAUGAACCAGGACAAAGUCCUCAUGGAGAGCUGGUAAUUAACUCUUUUCUUUCUUUCAAUUUUGGUACUCUGUUUUCUCCUGUUUUUCUGCUACUCUGUUUUCCCCUGUUUUUUAUGCCAAUUAAAUUAGGGGUGGUUUGUUAAAGAAAAAUAGAAAUUAGAGAAUAUUAAGUAUAUGAGAAUACUGUUUGUUAAAAGAUGUUACAACAAAUAAAAAGGUUUCAACUUUCAACAACCUCAGUAAAAUUUCUCCGGUACCAAACGAUCCCUCAGCUCAAACUUUCC